rnacentral:rRNA from 1 species
AGGGAAUAGAUACCCUGGUAGUCCACGCCGUAAACUAUGGAUGCUAGCUGUUGGCCGUAUCGACCCGGUCAGUAGCGAAAGCUAACGCGUUAAGCAUCCCGCCUGUGGAGUACGGUCGCAAGACUAAAACAUAAAGGAAUUGACGGGGACCCGGCACAAGCGGUGGAGCGUGUUGUUUAAUUCGAUGCUAAGCGAAGAACCUUUACCCAGGUUUGUACAUCUUCGGAAUUACUACGAAAGUAAGUGAGUGCCUUCAGGAACCGAACUGACAGGUGAUGCAUGGCCGUCGUCAGCUCGUGUCGUGAGAUGUUUGGUUUGAGUCCAUCAACGAGCGCAACCCUUA